UACGGAGGAUGCGAGCGUUAUCCGGAUUUAUUGGGUUUAAAGGGUGCGUAGGCGGAUGAAUAAGUCAGUGGUGAAAACCUGCAGCUUAACUGUAGAACUGCCAUUGAUACUGUUUGUCUUGAGUACGGUCAAGGUAGGCGGAAUGUGUAAUGUAGCGGUGAAAUGCUUAGAUAUUACACAGAACACCGAUUGCGAAGGCAGCUUACUGGGCCGCAACUGACGCUGAUGCACGAAAGCGUGGGGAGCGAAC
rnacentral:rRNA from 1 species